rnacentral:rRNA from 1 species
AUACGUAGGUGGCGAGCGUUGUCCGGAAUUAUUGGGCGUAAAGGGUGCGUAGGUGGUUUCUUAAGUCAGAGGUGAAAGGCUACGGCUCAACCGUAGUAAGCCUUUGAAACUGGGAAACUUGAGUGCAGGAGAGGAGAAGGGAAUUCCUAGUGUAGCGGUGAAAUGCGUAGAGAUUAGGAAGAACACCAGUGGCGAAGGCGCUUCUCUGGACUGUAACUGACGCUGAGGCUCGAAAGCGUGGGGAGC